UUCAGGGGUAAACCUGAGAAACCCGAAAGGUCGAAAGGGGAAAUUCAUUCGCGUUUCGACCGUCGGCGUUGGGAGGUCGCGCGACGAGCGGCGUACGCGCCGCUCGCGCCUUCCGCUCUUCGAACCGUCGUCGAACGCGUGCACUUUUCCCCUUGUAGGACGUCGCGAUUCGUCGGGCGUCGGUCUAAGGCCCGCGGAGGAGACCGCGCGGACGUUUCGGCGUUCCGCGUCGGACCCGCGGUGUAUCUCACCCGGCCGACUCGCUCGACGGUAUACGCAAGGCGAGAGGCCGCUAUCUCUUUUUUGGUUAGCGUUCGGCCCGCGGCAAGCCGGUUCGGAGGCUACGGCGAUCGGACUCUGUGCCGGUCCCGUUCCCGAACGACUGUUGGCCGCGCGGCGUUUUUCUCGAACAGAGCGGUCGCGCCGAUCUGCGACGCUAUAGUUUUGGGUACUUUCAGGACCCACGGACCAAGGAGUCUAGCAUGUACGCGAGUCAUUGGGACAUAUCUAAACCUAAAGGCGUAAUGAAAGUGAAGGUUCGCCUCGCGCGAACCGAGGGAGGAUGAGCGGCGGCUGCUUAAGCCAUACGCUCUCGUAUCGAAGCGACCGCUCCGCACUCCCGGGGCGUCUCGUUCUCGUCGCGAGAAGAGGCGCACCAAGAGC
rnacentral:rRNA from 1 species